rnacentral:rRNA from 1 species
UACGUAGGGUGCGAGCGUUAAUCGGAAUUACUGGGCGUAAGCGUGCGUAGGCGGUUCGUUAAGUCUGUCGUGAAAGCCCUGGGCUCAACCUGGGAAUUGCGAUGGAUACUGGCGAGCUAGAGUACGGUAGAGGAUGGUGGAAUUCCCGGUGUAGCGGUGAAUGCGCAGAUAUCGGGAGGAACACCAGUAGCGAAGGCGGCACUCUGGGCCGGAACUGACGCUGAGGAGCGAAAGCGUGGGGAGCGAACAGG